rnacentral:rRNA from 2 species
ACCAAGGCGCUUGAGAGAACUCGGGUGAAGGAACUAGGCAAAAUGGUGCCGUAACUUCGGGAGAAGGCACGCUGAUAUGUAGGUGAAGUCCCUCGCGGAUGGAGCUGAAAUCAGUCGAAGAUACCAGCUGGCUGCAACUGUUUAUUAAAAACACAGCACUGUGCAAACACGAAAGUGGACGUAUACGGUGUGACGCCUGCCCGGUGCCGGAAGGUUAAUUGAUGGGGUUAGCGCAAGCGAAGCUCUUGAUCGAAGCCCCGGUAAACGGCGGCCGUAACUAUAACGGUCCUAAGGUAGCGAAAUUCCUUGUCGGGUAAGUUCCGACCUGCACGAAUGGCGUAAUGAUGGCCAGGCUGUCUCCACCCGAGACUCAGUGAAAUUGAACUCGCUGUGAAGAUGCAGUGUACCCGCGGCAAGACGGAAAGACCCCGUGAACCUUUACUAUAGCUUGACACUGAAAAUUGAGCUCUGAUGUGUAGGAUAGGUGGGAGGCUUUGAAGUAUGGACGCCAUGCUGGCUGGAGCCGACCUUGAAAUACCACCGGUUAAUGUGUGAUGUUCUAACGUGGACCCGUAAUCCGGGUUGCGGACAGUGUCUGGUGGGUAGUUUGACUGGGGCGGUCUCCUCCUAAAGAGUAACGGAGGAGCACGAAGGUUGGCUAAUCCUGGUCGGACAUCAGGAGGUUAGUGCAAUGGCAUAAGCCAGCUUGACUGCGAGCGUGACCGCGCGAGCAGGUGCGAAAGCAGGUCAUAGUGAUCCGGGGGUUCUGAAUGGAAGGGCCAUCGCUCAACGGAUAAAAGGUACUCCGGGGAUAACAGGCUGAUACCGCCCAAGAGUUCAUAUCGACGGCGGUGUUUGGCACCUCGAUGUCGGCUCAUCACAUCCUGGGGCUGAAGUAGGUCCCAAGGGUAUGGCUGUUCGCCAUUUAAAGUGGUACGCGAGCUGGGUUUAGAACGUCGUGAGACAGUUCGGUCCCUAUCUGCCGUGGGCGCUGGAGAAUUGAGGGGGGCUGCUCCUAGUACGAGAGGACCGGAG